rnacentral:tRNA from 4 species
UGGGGCGUCGUCAAGCGGUAAGACACAAGGUUUUGAUCCUUGCAUUCGGGGGUUCGAAUCCUCCCGCCCCAGCCA